CAGCUAUGGUGUUUGGUGGAUUUUUAACAUGGAUUCUGCACUACUAGGUUAAGAUUUUAGAAUCCACAAAUGACAAUGCCAUAUAGACUCCUUCCUAUUCUUAUGAACCUAAUGAAGUAGAAGAUUCACUGGACUUCAAGCCACUCCUCUCCCAGCCCAUGUCAUGAACUUUAUGUUUGGACUGAAUAAAGAAUCAUGGUAAAACAUCCAAAACCCUCAAAUCUGGCCAUGGAAACACUGGAAGGUAGAUAUUAGAGAACUGCUAUCUAAUGCCACUGCAGAACCACAUUAUAUAGUCUAUGUUGUCCUUUCCUUUACUAAUGUCAGGUAAUUUUUGGAUAAAAUAAGGAUUUAGGAGUUUAUCAUUUAAGUAGAUACAGAAUAUUUACACUAUUAUAUUCACUUUAGAACUGGGCCCCCUUUUUUUCUAAAAUCAGAGCAAAAAAAUGGAAUAGGAUAAUAGAACAUUGGAGUACACAUUCAGCAAUAUAUAUAAAGUCCACUAUCAAGGAAUGUACAAUAAGAAAAUGUAAUAAAAUAUUCACUCAAUUAAAGGUCUGUAGGGAAAAUAUAGGCCUUUAGAAAAGAGAGAUAUCUGAGGAAAUUGAACUAUAGGCCAGAGGAAUGGAACUGGGAAUAAAAUUAUUAUCCAGUAGAAUCUCCUGCACUCCAUAUUCCUAGAUCUUAGAGACCCAAGCCAUGCCUCUGGCUAACUUUCCCCAUUCAGAGCAUGUGACCAUUAGUGGAGCAGAGAUAAGUCUCUACCUUAAGAGUGAUUGAGUACAUAAAGGUUUCCAGUGUGUCACAGGAGACAUACCUGGAAAGGACACCUUCGAAUCUGGUAAAUGUAAGGAAAGCUGUUUAGCAUGUAGGAGAUGGCCGUUCUCAGUGACAUCAUAAAUAGGACCUCCAUGACAAAUUUGUUGUAACUAGGAGAGCCCUAGCUUCUUCUGUGAUGUAACAAUUACUGUCCUGACAGGAACUGCCUCUCACAUAUUCCCUCAGUAACUCUCCGGUUUGCUAAUUGGCCACUAAUUCAGAGUAAACAGCCAUUUGGGAGUGAGAACAAAAAGGAUAAAGAGAUCAGAGAUGGGGAGAAAGAAGCUGACCUUCUGUCUUUGUAUGAAAAAAAAGGAAAAAUAAGUGGAACUUUGAAAAGUUCAGGGAGCCCUUGGAAGGGUUGGAGUGGUAUCGCUGAAGAGAUAGACUUGAUCUGAGACUUACACAUAUGGGAAUCAAGAGCUGGAAGCUUCACAGAAGCAUCUGGACUUCCCUGUUCUUAUGGUUCCUGGAUGUCAAAGAAGAAAAAGGUCCUAAGGAAGGAGGUAAAGACAAGUAUUGGGUCCUCAGGUCAGAGUAAACUCCUCCAAGCUUUGGAUACCUAUAGUGCAUUUUGUGUCUGACACGGAUAUCUCGGAGAAAGAAGUGCUUCUAGUUGAGACUUCAUCAUCUUUGUCUUACUACAAGUAUUACUCUGAAUACCAAUUUAGAUUUCUGAGUAAAUAACUGUGAUUAGUU